rnacentral:rRNA from 1 species
UACGGAGGGUGCAAGCGUUUGUCCGGAAUCACUGGGCGUAAAGGGCGCGUAGGCGGCUCAUGAAGGCUGUGGUGAAAGUCCGGGGCUCAACCUCGGAUCGGCCGUGGCGACUCGUGGGCUGGAGCACUGUAGAGGCGGGUGGAAUUCCGGGUGUAGCGGUGGAAUGCGUAGAGAUCCGGAAGAACACCAGUGGCGAAGGCGGCCCGCUGGGCAGUGGCUGACGCUGAGGCGCGCAGCGUGGGGAGCAAACAGGAU